ACUCCGGUUGAUCCUGCCGGACCUCACUGCUAUCGGGGUGAGACUUAACCAUGCAAGUCUAUGCCCACACCCAUCUGUGGGCAUGGCGUACAGCUCAGUAACACGUAGCCAACCUGCCCCAAGGAGAGGGACACCCCCUGGGAAACCAUGCUCAGACCUCACAAAAUCGCUGCUACCAAAGAUUUGAAGGGUGUGCCAAAAGAUUGUCUUCUUUGACUCGCCACAUUUUUGGCGAGCACAGCUUGCUUUGAGUGAAUAUAGAUCUGAGUUGAAUGAGUGAAGAAGUCCGUCGAUCUAAGUGUUGAUUGGUAUAUCUCGCGCGAGAUAAGGCGAGGAACCACGAUUUCUGGCAUACCAGAAUAUUUGAUCUGACGUGGCCCAAAACUGGGGAUAAACCCUCAUAGGCGACGGGAUCUGGAAUGACCCAUCACCUAAAAUGACCUGGGAAGAUGGUUCUCAGGGCAGCCUUGGGAUGGGGCUGCGGCCGAUCAGGCUGUUGGUGAGGUAACGGCUCACCAAACCUAUAACCGGUACGGGCCGUGAGAGCGGUAGCCCGGAGAUGGACUCUGAGACAAUAGUCCAGGCCCUACGGGGCGCAGCAGGUGCGAAAACUCCGCAAUGCGCGCAAGCGCGACGGGGUCACCCCGAGUGCCGCCUUUUAGGUGGCUUUUACCCAGUGUAAAGAGCUGGAUGAAUAAAGGGGGGGCAAGACGGGUGUCAGCCGCCGCGGUAAUACCCGCUCCCUGAGUGGUGAGGGCUUUUAUUGGGCUUAAAGCGUCCGUAGCCGGCUUGGUGUGUCUCUCGUCAAAUCCGACGUCUCAAGCGUCGACCCGCGAGAGAUACUGCCAGGCUUGAGGGUGGAAGAGGUCGACGGUAUCUCCGAGGUAGGGGUAAAAUCCACUGAUCUCGGGGAGACCACCAGAUUGUCUGAAUGAAAUCGAUCGAUUGCAAGCCUAGUUUCAGGCAAGGUGAAUGGCGAAGGCGGUCGGCCAGAACACGCCUGACGGUGAGGGACGAAAGCUGGGGGAGCGAACUGGAUUAGAUACCCAGGUAGUCCCAGCUGUAAACGAUGCAGACUUGGUGUGAGGGUAGCUACGGGCUACCCUUGUGCCGAAGGAAAACCAUUAAGUCUGCCGCCUGGGGAGUACGGCCGCAAGGCUGAAACUUAAAGGAAUUGGCGGGGGAGCACCACAAGGCGUGGACGUUGCGGCUCAAUUGGAGUCAACGCCGGAAACCUUACCGGGGGCGACAGCAGGAUGAUGGCCAGGUUGAAGGCCUUGCCUGACAAGCUGAGAGGUGGCGCAUGGCCGUCGCCAGUGCGUGCCGUGAGGUGUCCUGUCAAUUCAGGCAAACUCGGAAGUGCCUCUUAAGUUGGUCGCGUAGGGCUACGCUCGCAAAGACAUGCAACGACUAAUGGAGAAAACACUCCGAGGUCGAACGGACGAGAUCCCUAUCCUCAGUUGCCAUCGGGCGCUUACGCGUGCCGGGCACUCUGAGGGGACUGCCGCCGAAAGGCGGAGGAAGGAAGGGGCCACGGCAGGUCAGUAUGCCCCGAAUCCCCCGGGCCGCACGCGACGUUCAAUGGUAGGGACAAUGGGUUUCGACCCCGAAAGGGGAAGGUAAUC
rnacentral:rRNA from 1 species